GAUGAACGCUGGCGGCGUGCCUAAUACAUGCAAGUCGAGCGAACAGACGAGGAGCUUGCUCCUCUGACGUUAGCGGCGGACGGGUGAGUAACACGUGGAUAACCUACCUAUAAGACUGGGAUAACUUCGGGAAACCGGAGCUAAUACCGGAUAAUAUAUUGAACCGCAUGGUUCAAUAGUGAAAGACGGUUUUGCUGUCACUUAUAGAUGGAUCCGCGCCGCAUUAGCUAGUUGGUAAGGUAACGGCUUACCAAGGCAACGAUGCGUAGACGACCUGAGAGGGUGAUCGGCCACACUGGAACUGAGACACGGUCCAGACUCCUACGGGAGGCAGCAGUAGGGAAUCUUCCGCAAUGGGCGAAAGCUUGACGGAGCAACGCCGCGUGAGUGAUGAAGGUCUUCGGAUCGUAAAACUCUGUUAUUAGUGAAGAACAAAUGUGUAAGUACCUAUGCACGUCUUGACGGUACCUAAUCAGAAAGCCACGGCUAACUACGUG
rnacentral:rRNA from 1 species